ACUAUGAUCCAUUAUGGAUCCUCUACUCGUAUACGUUUGGACGGCCAAACCAAUAACGA
rfam:Candidatus Saccharibacteria bacterium GW2011_GWC2_44_17, complete genome.